rnacentral:tRNA from 1 species
GUCGGCGUAGCUCAGCUGGUUAGAGCAUUGCACUCAUAAAGCAAAGGUCGGUGGUUCGAGUCCACCCGUCGACA